rnacentral:lncRNA from 1 species
AAAAAAAAGUAAACUUCAAAUAACACCCCUAUGGUUUCAUAUUUUUUCACUUUAGUAUCUUGUGCUUUAAAUUGUGGUUUUAUUUUUAUCUUUUCGUUAGCUUUUCGUUAAUAUUUUGUUAAAUUAUAUACAAAAAUUUUAGAUACUUUAACUAUAUUUAUCAAAUAUUCACUUUAGUAUUUUUUAAUUUUAACUUUGUUACUGAUUUAACGAAAAAAAUUAGUGAAAUCGAUAAUAAAAAGAUAAAUAAAACUACAGGAUACUAAAUUGAUACACUUUAAGUCAUAUAAUACUAAAGUGAGAAAAUAUAAAACCAUAGGGCCACUGGUAUUUGAAAUUUUCCCUAAAGAAAAAAAAAAAACUUGCGGCUCAUGAGUUAGUCCUACUAGGUCAAGCUCAACUUGGUUAGAAGUUAGAACUCACGGUAGCGUCUCAUAGUAGACAAAAAUAUCCCCCAACCCAAGGGUUUUUUUUUAUAAAAUGACCCUUCAAAAAUUUUAAAUUGGCAAAAUAACCCUAUUAAGAUUUUAUUUGGAAAACUAACCCUCCUUUCGCCACAUUGGAUUUUUGCUAUAAGGGCGCUGGAUGAUUCACCGCCUUUAUAGGUGAAUUAUUCACCGUUUAGCUUCAGGACUUUGACAAAUUUUCAUAAAUUUUGGGUAUUUUGCACUAAAGGUGGUGAAUCAUUCACCGCCUUCAUUAUUAUAUAUAUGUGAAGGUGGUGAAUGAUUCAUCGUAUUUAUAGUAAAAAUCUGACGUGGCGCCUACAUGACGAAAGGAGAGUUAUUUUUUCAAAUAAAAUUUUGACAGAAUUACAUCUCCAAUUUUAUAAUUUUGGAGGGUUAUUUU